CACAGUGUUAUAAGAAAUACUGUCCAUUUAAGCUCCAGACAAGCUGACAUUUUUGCUUGUUUAUUUUUGGUAGUCACAUGAUUAAAAAAAUAAGGCAAUCAUCGAAAUGAAUGUUAAGAUGUAUAGAAGGUUUGUUUUUCUCAAAAUCUAGCAUGUCUCCAUAAAGUAGUUAUCCCAUUAGCAUAGGCUAUGAUUUUCUAAUAGUUCUUUUACUGUUCAUUUUCUAAGACAUACAUUUUUCUUGUAUAAUUUCUUUCCUAGUAGAGAUCCUGAGACCUGUUCUGUCUAUUAGCUUACUCUUUUUAUUGAGCUUACGGUUAUAAAAUAUGUAGACCGGGGGCCUAUAACAGAUGUUUGUGUUUUAUUAUUGCUGAAGGAUCCUCCUGCUGUUGCAAAAAUACCAAUCAAAUCGAAGCAGCAUCACUUUUGCCUCCACCUUCAGGGACUAAAUAUUAAGGCUAUUCCUUCAGGAAAUGAAUGAAAGUGUUAUCAAAAUCAUUACGUACAUUAUAUAGCUAUUUACAUGCGAAUUAAUAAUAACAUGAUAAUUCACCACACUUUUAAAUAAUGUAAAUGUUGUAUGUAUGACAUGACUGCUGGUGGGAGGAGCUCUAUCUCUUUCUUUUUUCAGGGGACUCACAGAUAUGCUGUACACCACUAUUAAAAUAUGUUUUUCGACUCUAGAAGAUCAUUUUUAGACUUUUAAGCUGGUGAUUUAGGACUUGACUCAAAAUAUGGACCAGUUACCCAGUGUCUCUCCAAGCAAAGUCAUGGUUCUAGUUAUUUUCUGCCUUAAAGUAUCAUAUGCUAUACAGUGUGUGGGCCCUGUGUGAACAACGCUGCCUGUGUCACUUUCCACAAUAGAACAGGCUAUUGCAGGUGUGCUUCUGGUUUGUUAGGCGAGUACUGUCAGCACAAGGACCUGUGUUACGUGGGAUAUUGUCUAAUGGAGGAGAAUGCACUGUGAGUGUGGACAGUGUACCUGGGAGCCCCAGAUGUGUGUGUCCUCUGGGUUUCACAGGCCAGUGCUCUGAGAUGAAUUACGUGCCCGGCUUUUCAUCCCCCUGCCUCAAUGGUGGAACCUGCCGGCAGAUGACAGACAGGGUGGCAGUGGCUUAGUGGUUCAUGUAGGUUGUCUACAAACCGGAAGGUUGGUGGUUCAAUCCCCGGCUCCACCUGACCAAGUGUCGAGGUGUCCUUGAGCAAGACGCCUAACCCCAGCUGCUCCCAACGAGCUGGAUUCAGCCUUGCAUGGCUGACAUUGCAGUCGGUGUGUGAAUGAGUGGGUGAAUGUGAGGCAAUUUGUAAAGCACUUUGGAUGACCAUGGGGUCUGUUGAAAGCGCUAUAUAAAUGCAGUCCGUUUACCAGACACAACUUCUAUAUGCCACUGCCUGCCAGGUUAGUUCCAGAGGGGAGGAAAUAUAAAUCUGUUUUGAUAAUAACAUAAAAUACUAUAAGUCAUAUUUAACAAAUACUUACUUUAUCAGUAGACCAACAGCUUGCAUCCACUUCAUCUUUCUAAUGAAUCAGCUUGUUAUUUAAAAAGAAUAAAUGCAACAAAGCAUCUAUACUUGCAUAUACAAAUGUAAAAAAAUGUUAGUGACUGAACAUUUUUAUGAUGCUGAAAAGUUAAAGAGAUACUGUAACAUGGACUACCACAUACUGAUAGAAAUUAACCUGUGAUGUGUGUCAGGUGAUUAAGUUUCAUGUUUCAAGAACAUUCUUCAGAGGCAUUUGUUACAUGUAGGGUAAAAUAAAUACAUCUUUAUGAAUUAAUAAACAACACUCACUUGCUGAUUUGACAUACACAUUCUUAAUGUAUUCCUUAAACUGUCCCAAUUCAUCAGCAACAUUUUCUCAUUAGUCCCAGCUGUAUUUCUUUUGAAGCAAUGUGGCAGAUGAAUUUAUUCAGGUGAGAGUUCAGUGACAGUACAUAAUUUCUUAGGCCUGCUUAAAAUACAAUAACACUGAAAACUGGAGUAAUUCUUGCUAAAAAUUAAAGGUUUUUACUGUAUUUUUAUUAGAUAAAUGCAAAUAUAUUCAGAUACUGGAUAUGAUAAAGGUUUAGAAUAUGGUCGGAAUAAGGCAUUGUUAUGUGGUUUAUAAGUACAGCCAAUAUUCAACUGGUUAAUGUUGAAUAGUGUUACUGUUCCCUAAUCGAAAGUGUUACCAUGUCUGGUUUUAUAACUAGAAACAAAUAAGUGUAAGCUGAAUUUUUCUUGCAAUAAGGUUUUGGAGGAGCAAACAUUGAGGUGAAUAUUGAUGAUUGUCCGAAUCACCGCUGUCAGAAUGGAUGUGGAUGAAUGCAGACUGAAAAACCCCUGUCAGAAUGGAGGCACAUGCAGUAACACGAGCAACAGCUACAAAUGCGUAUGUGUGAACGGCUGGAGUGGCUCUGACUGCUCUGAAAACAUUGAUGACUGCGCAACUAAGGCCUGUGCUGCUGGCUCCACUUGCAUCGGCCGCGUGGCUUCCUUCCGUUGCAGCUGCCCUCCUGGCAAGACUGGUUUGCUGUGUCGUAUUGAUGAUGCCUGCACCAGUAACCCAUGCAAGAUGGAAGCUCUAUGUUACAAAAAAACCCUUUUAUAAAGAAUAUCUCUUUGGAUUUGAAACUUUAGUCUUUGCAACUUUAUAGAUCUUCUUUUUGCACCAAGAGCUUGCAAAAAAAUAAAAUCGCAUCAUAUCACCCCUUUAAGAAAGUUACAGACAGAGUCUCAAAUGACGAUAAGUUCACGCUGUGUGUUAAAGAUUGUUGGAUCCGACACUGUCCCUCCUAACAGGCUGUCGAGUCCCUAACCCGAUCCUCACUGGAAUCUGUUUUAUGAACUACAGGGAAGUUUGUCUGCACAUGUUCAAAGUGUAAAUGAAAGAGUAAAAGUGUUUUUCUGUAUACUGCA